rnacentral:rRNA from 1 species
AAGAGAAAGUACAAAAGGGCGUACGGUGGAUGCCUAGGCUCUUACAGGCGAUGAAGGACGUGAUAAGCUGCGAUAAGCUGUGGGUAGGUGCAAAUAACCAUUGAUCCGCAGAUUUCCGAAUGGGACAACCCAGCAGGUUGAAGACCUGUUAUCCCGCGAAUGCGGGAGGCUAACGGGGGGAACUGAAACAUCUUAGUACCCCUAGGAAAAGAAAAUAAUAAUGAUUCCCCUAGUAGUGGCGAGCGAACGGGGAAGAGCCCAAACCAUAUAGAUUUCGGUCUAUAUGGGGUUGUAGGACCACGACGUUGCAAGAAAUACGUUUAGAGGAACGCUUUGGAAAGAGCGACCAUAGAGAGUGACAGUCUCGUACUCGACAAUCGUAUGAAGCUUAGUGGUAUCCUGAGUAGGGCGGGACACGUGAAAUCCUGUCUGAAUCCGGCGGGCCCAUCCGCCAAGGCUAAAUACUCGUAAGAGACCGAUAGCGAACCAGUACCGUGAGGGAAAGGUGAAAAGCACCUCUGUUAGAGGAGUGAAAAAGUUCCUGAAACCGUACGCCUACAAGCGGUCGGAGCACCUUAUGGUGUGACGGCGUGCCUUUUGCAUAAUGAACCUACGAGUUACCGUCGUCGGCAAGGUUAAGUGCUAUGAAGCACGUAAGCCGAAGCGAAAGCGAGUCUGAAUAGGGCGCAUAGUCGGCGGUGGUAGACGCGAAACCAAGUGAUCUACCCUUGUCCAGGUUGAAGUCCCGGUAACACGGGAUGGAGGACCGAACCAAUAAGCGUUGAAAAGCUUCUGGAUGAGGUGAGGGUAGGAGNNNNNNNNNNGGUGCAGCCUCGGGCGUUCCCUGUGUGAGGUAGAGCGACUGAUUGGAUGCGAGGGCUUCACCGCCUAUCAAGUCCAGACAAACUCCGAAUGCACACAGGCUAAGCCCGGGAGUGAGGGCGUGGGUGCUAAGGUCCACGCCCGAGAGGAGAAGAAUCCUGACCACCGGCUAAGGCCCCGAAAUAUAGGCUAAGUUAAACUAACGAAGUGUGGUCCCCGUGACAGCUAGGAUGUUGGCUUGGAAGCAGCCAUU